GCAUUUGUGGUUCAGUGGUAGAAUUCUCGCCUUCCAUUUGGGAGAUUCAGGUUUGAUUCCUGACCAAGGUA
rnacentral:tRNA from 1 species